rnacentral:rRNA from 1 species
GAUGAACGCUGGCGGCGUGCCUAAUACAUGCAAGUCGAGCGAACGGACGAGAAGCUUGCUUUUCUGAUGUUAGCGGCGGACGGGUGAGUAACACGUGGAUAACCUACCUAUAAGACUGGGAUAACUUCGGGAAACGGGAGCUAAUACCGGAUAAUAUUUUGAACCGCAUGGUUCAAAAGUGAAAGACGGUCUUGCUGUCACUUAUAGAUGGAUCCGCGCUGCAUUAGCUAGUUGGUAAGGUAACGGCUUACCAAGGCAACGAUGCAUAGCCGACCUGAGAGGGUGAUCGGUCACACUGGAACUGAGACACGGUCCAGACUCCUACGGGAGGCAGCAGUAGGGAAUCUUCCGCAAUGGGCGAAAGCCUGACGGAGCAACGCCGCGUGAGUGAUGAAGGUCUUCGGAUCGUAAAACUCUGUUAUUAGGGAAGAACAUAUGUGUAAGUAACUGUGCACAUCUUGACGGUACCUAAUCAGAAAGCCACGGCUAACUACGUG